rnacentral:rRNA from 1 species
AGUGAACGCUGGCGGCAGGCCUAAUACAUGCAAGUCGAACGGCAGCACAGCAGAGCUUGCUCUGUGGGUGGCGAGUGGCGGACGGGUGAGGAAUACAUGGGAAUCUGCCCAGUCGUGGGGGAUAACGUAUGGAAACGUACGCUAAUACCGCAUGCGCCCUUUGGGGGAAAGCCGGGGACCUUCAGGCCUGGCGCGAUUGGAUGAGCCCAUGUUCGAUUAGCUAGUUGGCGGGGUAAAGGCCCACCAAGGCGACGAUCGAUAGCUGGUCUGAGAGGAUGAUCAGCCACACUGGAACUGAGACACGGCCCAGACUCCUACGGGAGGCAGCAGUAGGGAAUAUUGGACAAUGGGCGCAAGCCUGAUCCAGCCAUGCCGCGUGAGUGAAGAAGGCCCUCGGGUUGUAAAGCUCUUUUGUCCGGAAAGAAAAGCAUUCGGUUAAUACCCGGGUGUUCUGACGGUACCGGAAGAAUAAGCACCGGCUAACUUCGUG